UACGUAGGGUGCGAGCGUUAAUCGGAAUUACUGGGCGUAAAGCGUGCGCAGGCGGUUUUGUAAGUCAGAUGUGAAAUCCCCGGGCUUAACCUGGGAACUGCGUUUGAAACUACAAGGCUAGAGUGUGGCAGAGGGGGGUGGAAUUCCACGUGUAGCAGUGAAAUGCGUAGAGAUGUGGAGGAACACCGAUGGCGAAGGCAGCCCCCUGGGAUAACACUGACGCUCAUGCACGAAAGCGUGGGGAGCAAACAGG
rnacentral:rRNA from 1 species